AACCGUUAAGAGAAAGAGCUGCCUGCUAGAUAGGAGAGAGUGAGAUGUAAAGAAGUUUGGGUUCUUGAUGACUUUGUAAAGCUUUCCUAACAAGCAGCCCUGCCUCUAGACUUCAUAUCAAAUGAGAAAAGCAGAAUUCACAUUUUGUUUAAGCCACAACCAGAUUGCAAUCUACAUUGUUGCACAAUGAACUUCUCUGCACACUUCUGAGUCUCUGAGGGUAUUGGAAGAUCAUAAGGUUAUGUUGCUAUUCAACUCUGGAAAACAGUUUAAAACACCUAGAAAAGUGGAGGUUCUUGAAAUUCCCACAGUCCUGGAAGAACCAGAAUCGUAGGAGCAUGGAAGACUUAAUUCAUUCAACAGUAACUACCUCUUUUUAGCCUAAGAUUUGGCAGCCGAACAACAGAAUAGGAAUUAUGUCAGCUUUUCUGCUUAGCACGAGCUCUGCCCCAGAACCAAUGACAUAAAAUAUGUAUGUUUGCUUUCCCUGCCACAAAGUUGUGACACAUUAUCAAAGCUUUACAAAGUCACUCUAUCUUAGGACACCCCUAGACAACUUGUUUCCAUCUUACUUCUGAGACAAAAAUAUUUACUGCAUCCUGCUUUGUCUUUGUGAAUAUUACAUUAAAUGUUGACAUGUGCUUGGCAAUUCAAA